UAAGGUUUUAAGUUAAUUAAACUAAUAAUCUUCAAAAUUAUAUAUAAAGAUAUUUCUUUAAGCCUUA
rnacentral:tRNA from 1 species